CUUGUGAGAGGCUGAGGUCUCAUUCCAUGAAAUUACACAAGGAAUGAAAAAAAAGCUCACUUCACAAAACAGAGAUGGUGAGCCUCGUGACAGAAAUGAAGUGAGUGUAUGUUAUGCAAUAGAAGAAAUGGCCUUCUGCAGGCUGUCAGUGACAGAUACCAGCUCACUCACAUCGAUAAAGCUCAAUUAGCUGCUGGAGAAAAUGUCUUUUAAAAAUGUAAUGAGCUGCACCUUGAAAGAAUAGUAGACAAAUGUGAAAAACUAAAUAAAACCUUAAUGUGGACAAGUAAG